AUUGAACGCUGGCGGCAUGCUUUACACAUGCAAGUCGAACGGUAACAGGCCUUCGGGUGCUGACGAGUGGCGUACGGGUGAGUAAUGCAUCGGAACGUACCCAGAGGUGGGGAUAACGCCGCCAAAACUGUGCUAAAUACCCAAGUGAAUCGAGGAUUAAAACGGGGGAACGAGCAGCCAAGUUUGGCCCUGGGCCCUUUGAGCGGCCGGAUGUCGGAUUAGCUAGUUGUGGGGGUAAAGGCCUACCAAGGCGACGAUCCGUAGCUGGGCUGAGAGGACGACCAGCCACACUGGGACUGAGACACGGCCCAGACUCCUACGGGAGGCAGCAGUGGGGAAUUUUGGACAAUGGGCGCAAGCCUGAUCCAGCAAUGCCGCGUGCGGGAAGAAGGCCUUCGGGUUGUAAACCGCUUUUGGCAGGAACGAAACGGUGUCCGCUAAUACCGGGCGCUAAUGACGGUACCUGCAGAAUAAGCACCGGCUAACUACGUG
rnacentral:rRNA from 1 species